ACCCAUGAUGACAACUUGGUUUACAACUGAAUUUUUUUUUGUUAGAUUUGCAUAAUUGUUGAUAAUCAUUGAACUAGGACGGUCCAAGGC
rnacentral:snoRNA from 1 species